GAUGAACGCUGGCGGCGUGCCUAAUACAUGCAAGUCGAGCGAACGGACGAGAAGCUUGCUUCUCUGAUGUUAGCGGCGGACGGGUGGGUAACACGUGGAUAACCUACCUAUAAGACGGGGAUAACUUCGGGAAACCGGAGCUAAUACCGGAUGAUAUUUUGAACCGCAGGGUGCAAAAGUGAAAGACGGUCUUGCUGUCACUUAUAGAUGGAUCCGCGCUGCAUUAGCUAGUUGGUAAGGUAACGGCUUACCAAGGCAACGAUGCAUAGCCGACCUGAGAGGGUGAUCGGCCACACUGGAACUGAGACACGGUCCAGACUCCUACGGGAGGCAGCAGUAGGGAAUCUUCCGCAAUGGGCGAAAGCCUGACGGAGCAACGCCGCGUGAGUGAUGAAGGUCUUCGGAUCGUAAAACUCUGUUAUUAGGGAAGAACAUAUGUGUAAGUAACUGUGCACAUCUUGACGGUACCUAAUCAGAAAGCCACGGCUAACUACGUG
rnacentral:rRNA from 1 species